GACGUUUAAAUAUAAUUACUAGACGGAAAGCAGCACGCGCGGAAACCAUUACACGAAUGGGAUUAGGCUCCGCCUCUUUUGGAUCAUUUGAAGACAAAAUAAGCACCCGAGGCGUCUUUUUGAUUGGAUAUGAGCCUCAUGAAUAUGUAUUUUAUCGAUAGUAUCGUUUAAGAAACCGGAUAAUAUAUUUGACCUCAUUGCGUCACUUUAAUUAUGCAGAUUUAUGCACGACGCUACUACACUCGCACAAACUGAGAAGAUUUAGUUCAUUGAGAAUGGAUUGAAACUGAAGAAGAGCUGGAAGGAGUUAGCUGAUGAGUAGACAUUACAACAUUUUUUAUAGUUGCAAGAUGACGCAGAAAGUCCCAUCCAGGAUGAUGCUUCGCUACAGUGGAUGAUGAAGCCAUGCUGGUUUACAAACUCAGGAGAGGAACAAAGAACAGAUAUUGACGGGAUCAUAUCUAGAGAUGCAGGCCUACUACACUUCAUACGAGCAAGUGUGCUAAUAUACAAUACUUGGGUUAUCAUUACAGCCCUUUCUUCUGAAAACUAGGCUACAACUUUAUUGAUGGAUGCAGAAAACAUCUACAUGGGACUACGUC
rnacentral:lncRNA from 1 species